rnacentral:rRNA from 1 species
AAGAGGAUUCGAUCCUACGGGAGGCAGCAGUGGGGAAUUUUGGACAAUGGGGGAAACCCUGAUCCAGCCAUCCCGCGUGUAUGAUGAAGGCCUCGGGUUGUAAAGUACUUUUGGCAGAGAAGAAAAGGUAUCUCCUAAUACGAGAUACUGCUGACGGUAAUCUGCAGAAUAGCACCGGCUAACUACGUGCCAGCAGCCGCGGUAAUACUCACCGA